rnacentral:misc_RNA from 1 species
AACGCACAUUGCGCCCAUUAGUAUUCUAGUGGGCAUGCCUGUCCGAGCGUCAUUUCAACCCUCAGAUACCUAUAUAUCUGGCGUUGGGGCGUUCUAUAGCACUUUGCUAUAGGCCUUAAAAAUUAGUGGUGGGCCCCCUGUCAGGGCAGCUGGGGGAGUGCUGAAUAUCGUCAGGGAAGCGGUAGCGCGUCAGGGAAGCACUAGAGAGGAAGCUAGUGCUGGAGGGCUUGAAGGAGUCUGAAUUUAGGUGCUCUUCUUUUUCUAAUUAGGAGGAGGUGACGAAGAGGAGGAGGUGAGUGCCUUUUAUCUUGGGAGCUCCUUUGUCCUUCUGGGGGGCUGGUCACCUGAUCUGGUGCCUGAGGCCUGACACCCCCUGAAGACCCUGAACGCAGUAAUUUCUUUCUCGUUCCCGGCGUUUUAGGGGCCGCCCAGCUGUCAAAUUUCUAAAUUUCAAAAGUAUGACCUCGGAUCAGGUAGGAUUACCCGCUGAACUUAA